UAAAGCGCUAAACAAGGAGGCAUGAACUCUGCAUGCUCUCCCCAGCCUUGCUACUGAGUUACAUUGAGCCAGGCAAGCCAGGACUUCACCCCACCACAGCCUCCAGGAUCAGGGAGGAAGAGAAAGGCGUUUCAAGGAGGAUGGCUGCAGCCAUAGGAGAUCUGCUGUAGGAGAGCUGUACCCUGCUCUGCCCUCCACCCUGUGGAGCUCGACAUUCAGAAAUGCAGCUCCAGACACUGAAUCCCUGAUGGGCUUCCCAGAACUGCACGUCAGAGGACCAGGAGGGUAGGGGCAAACCGGACAGAGGAAAACAUCUGCAGCCACUGAACCUGAAGAGGUAGCCUGCCACCUUGCAAGGCGGCACACAUCAGCCUGCAGAGCUGGCUGUCUCUACCUGACCUCUGGAGCAAACCCCCCAACCAGCAGCAAGGCCCAGGGACCCUACUAGUGCAUCAACGAGGUGAGGAAAGGCAAACACACAUCAUACAGUUGCUGCGCUGCCCUUUGUGCCCUCUGCCAGCAGAGGGGAAGAACAUGGUGGAGAUGUCCACCUCCAAAGGCAGCAGCUUCUGCCUGUCCCGUGGAGACCCUGUCUGGCUCCUGUCUCUUCUCAGCGGGGUGUCCCUGAGUCCAGGACGGAUUUUACUUGGUGAUGUCAGGCCAGAUUAAUCUUGGUUUAAUUGACCGUGGGUGAAAUCGUGCUUUGAUGGUUAAUGUUAUACUUGGGGCUGGGAAAACUACUGCAAGAUCAUAGCAAUUAGAGCUGGAAAUGAUUCAA